rfam:Lactobacillus mucosae LM1, complete genome.
GUAAGGUCAUGGGGCAAGGUUGUGCCUACGAAUCGUGUCAGGUCCGGAAGGAAGCAGCACUAAGUUCGCUACAGCUUGUGCCCCAUGCUUUUUUUAU